rnacentral:rRNA from 1 species
UACGUAGGGGGCUAGCGUUGUCCGGAUUUAUUGGGCGUAAAGAGCGUGUAGGCGGCCAGGUAGGUCUGGUGUGAAAACUCGAGGCUUAACCUCGAGAUGUCAUCGGAAACCAUUUGGCUAGAGUCCGGAAGAGGAGAGUGGAAUUCCUGGUGUAGCGGUGAAAUGCGCAGAUAUCAGGAGGAACACCGGUGGCGAAGGCGGCUCUCUGGACCACAACUGACGCUGAGGCGCGAAAGCUAGGGGAGCAAACAGG